GACUUAGCUGCUAUUUUGGUACAUGUAAAAAUUAAUAUUUGAUUCUGAUGGUGACUUGCCUUGUGUGUUUUCUGUUGUAUUUCCACUGAGUUUGGGGAUUCUAAUAGUUGUGGUGAUCCUUUGGUAGUUUCUGAUGAUAUGGUAGCAGCAAAAUACAUGAAUAUUAAUCAUCUUUGUCAAAAAAAAUACAUGGAUAUUAAUCAUCUUUGUCAUUUCAAUUGCACCUUCCUUCGCAACACCACCAUAGCUCCUGAUUUUUUUCGCGACACCACCAUUCUACUGCCAACACACCUUCUCAAUUUAACAAUUCACCUACACAAAAAACCACAGGCAAAUCUCAACACCACUAUAGUCACAAAAUAUACAGAAAAAGGCCACCACGACAACCACCAUCUCCACUCUCAUCUUCUUCAUAAAGCACUCACCACAAUUGUGAAAACAACAACUCGGUUUCUACCGCUAUCGAUGUAGGAAGAUCAAGCUCGUUUUCAGAAUUCACUCUCAAAUUGGUAGAGGAAUCUACCAUCGGGUGAGGAACGCCUAACUCGUCAUCAAAAGCCUCCAAAAGAUAGUCUAGCUUCAAACUAUGACUCGUUGGAUUCACAU
rnacentral:lncRNA from 1 species